AGAUCGAUGACGGCGUGAUGAUGACACUUGGCUGCUGUUGUUUGUGUUUGCGUUGCGUGAGCUGCUUCAGGGUGUGUUCUACUGCGGUGCAAACGAUCACUGGUGAGCUUGUUGCGCUGUGAGCUUUCGUCCAUUAACUCCUGGUGUUUUUUUGUGCGAUCGACGGUACGUGUAAAGGUUUUGCUAGGGAUGUCCGGUGGCUGAUGCGCUAGCGGCGUCGAUCUACACAGCUCCCGGACCGAGGAUCGCAUCCUUGCCAGUCCGACUCCCCGUACAACGAAUUUACUAAUCAGCUAAGGUCUCAAGGUCAUAAUUGAGUCAUGGAAGACCGAGGUCCCUUAACGGCUCCGGUCUUCACACGGCAAGACCGGGGCUCAAAUCCCAUCCAGACCGCCCUCCGUACACAGGACUGUCCAUCCGGAUGCAGGUAGAGUUAAGUCACAGAAAGCCAGAAAUGGCAGGCAGAGGCCUCUCCAGGUUGUAGUGCCAAAGAAGAUGUAGAUGAAGUAUUAGCGGCCUCCACAGGACUGGAACGAGGAUCGAAUCUCGUCCAGACCGUCGCCUCGUACAUUGAACUGACUAAACAGCAAAGGGUCAAGGUCAUAAUUAAGUUAUGGAAGCCAGUCAUAAGAGCGGCCCGGUUUAAGAGGCGACAACGGCGCCGAUAUUCAUACGGCAGAACCGGGGUUCAAAUCCCAUCCGGACUGUUCCCCCCUGUAGUUUUUUACUUAUCAUCAAACUACGUGGCUUCAUAUUAUAUUAAGUCCAGUAAGCCAGAAAUAGCAGGCAUGACCAAAGGGUUCUAGGCCAAAGAAGAAGAAGAAGGCAGCAAUGGAAGUCAGAGAUCCCUUCUUGAACUCUUUGAAAAAUCUUUGGACGCUUCUACACUCAGGAUAUCUGUGUAGAAUAUGUAUAGUCCAAGUACUCACAUCCGCCUCUAAAACAUGGACGCUGAACCGUGUUCGAGAGGAAGAUGCUGAGAAGGAUUUUUGGCCCUUGUAUGUGUGGAAGGAACAUGAAGAAGUCGUUACAAGUCGUGCAGUGAAUUCGACACGCUAGGGUUCCGGUGGUCUGCACAUGUCAUGAAAAUGGGAUCGGACAACCUGUAAAGUCCUUUUCAGGCCAGACCACAUCGGCAGAGAAGGUUUGAUAGUAUUGAUGGGCUGGUAGACCCGAACCUACUGGGUUCGACUCGUUGACUCAGGACGUUCCGAGGAUUCAGCAAGUUCUGGCGGGGUCUAUUUGUCGGUGUAAAGAUUUCGAUGGAUUGACCCGAAAUCGUGGAACACACUCAUUGACCCGAACUCGUUGCAGCAACGGGUUCAAUUCGAUGCCCCGUCGAUCCGAGGAAGAGAGUCGUAUGACCCAUGCGUCCGUCAGAAAGACCGACCUUAAUGAACGGUCCAGAUGAGAUUUGAACCCCGGUCCUGCCGUGUGAAGGCCGGUGCCACUAUCGAAUCUACCCGGAGGUCGCUAAAUAAUAAUGCCCGGGCCGCCAUCAUAAUGAGUUAAAUAAAUAAAUACUUGAAAUAUUAAGAAAAUCCUCUCAUACACUGAUACCACUUUCUAUAGCUGCAUUUCAAAUUUGCUUUUGCAUUUUUUUUUUUAUAAUCGGAAUCUUUGAAAUAGGUAACAUGAACUUGAAUAUCAUAAGAAAACAGUUUAAAAUAGAAAACUGUGAAAAUCAGUCAAAAAAUAUAAAACAGAUGAUACAUCCAGAUUUAAAAUCGACGGUAAGCUCAACAGAUCUUCAAACGCAAUUUCAUGAAAAGAACGAUGAUAUCAAUGAAUAAAAAUUAAAAAUAAUGGAAGUUUGAAACAUAAAA